GCAAGCUGCCGGGGCGGCGAGUUUUCUUGGCUCCGGCCCCUCCUCCCGCCCUGCCCGCGGGGAGCCGAGCGGCCGCCCAACAGCCUCUCGCAAGUCUCUCUCACACUUCCCCGCCGUCACCCCAAAGGAGCAGCCGCUCCUCCUCGCGCCCCUGCCGCCGCCGCGGCGCCCGCGGGGCUCUUCUCCCGCGCUUCGCUCCCCCGAUGGAGCCCGGGCGCCGCCGCCGCCGCCGCUGCCCCGAGCCCUGAACGGGGACGCCCGGCCGAAGGAACGUGCCGCCCGGCCCGAGGGCGCACCAGGCACACGCCAAGGCCGAGGGCCGCCGAGGGUGGAAGGAGAAAGUGCUGCUCUCCCGGGUCACUUGGCCGGCGGCGGGGGGACCAUGGCUUUGAAGGACACGGGCAGUGGCGGCAGCACCAUCCUGCCCAUUAGCGAGAUGGUCUCCUCGUCCAGCUCGCCGGGCGCGUCUGCGGCCGCCGCCCCGGGGCCCUGUGUGCCCUCGCCCUUCCCCGAGGUGGUGGAGCUCAACGUGGGCGGCCAGGUCUAUGUGACCAAGCACUCGACGUUGCUCAGCGUCCCGGACAGCACUCUGGCCAGCAUGUUCUCGCCCUCCAGCCCCCGGGGCGGCGCCCGACGCCGAGGAGAGCUGCCCAGGGACAGCCGGGCGCGCUUCUUCAUCGACCGGGACGGCUUCCUCUUCAGGUACGUGCUCGAUUAUCUGCGGGACAAGCAGCUCGCGCUGCCGGAGCACUUCCCCGAGAAGGAGCGGCUCCUGCGCGAGGCCGAGUACUUCCAGCUCACCGACCUGGUCAAGCUGCUGUCGCCCAAGGUCACCAAGCAGAACUCACUCAACGACGAGGGCUGCCAGAGCGACCUGGAAGACAACGUCUCCCAGGGCAGCAGCGACGCGCUGUUGCUGCGUGGGGCGGCCGCAGCCGCGCCCUCGGGCCCGGGAGCGCACGGCGGCGGCGGCGGCGGCGGCGGCGCGCCGGACAAGCGCUCGGGCUUCCUCACGCUCGGCUACCGCGGCUCGUACACCACGGUGCGAGACAACCAGGCGGACGCCAAGUUCCGGCGUGUGGCGCGCAUCAUGGUGUGCGGGCGUAUCGCGCUGGCCAAGGAGGUCUUCGGGGACACGCUCAACGAGAGCCGCGACCCUGACCGGCCGCCCGAGAAGUACACGUCCCGCUUCUACCUCAAGUUCACCUACUUGGAGCAGGCUUUCGAUCGCCUGUCCGAGGCUGGCUUCCACAUGGUGGCGUGUAACUCCUCGGGCACCGCCGCCUACGUCAACCAGUACCGCGAAGACAAGAUCUGGAGCAGCUACACCGAGUACAUCUUCUUCCGUCCUGUACUCAUGAAUAAAUUGCAAUAGCAGGGAAGCAUGAUCAUGACAAGGUAAGAAAACUGGGAGAAAGGGCUCAGAAGAAAGAAAAGAAGUAUUUUUUUGUGUGUGUAUGUGCUUUGGACAAGCCCUUUGAAUAAGUAAAAAUUAUCUACAUGAAGUCUUAGACAAACAGCUUUACAUCAUAUUAGAUAAUUUAGCUAAUUGAAAAUAUGGCUAGAAAAAUAACAUUAAUUUUAAAUUGUAUUUUGAAUGUCAAGAUAGUAAGUGCAUUCUUUUGCAUUCCAUUAUAUACUUGAAGACUAUUUUAUCCAAUUAAAUACUCUUAAAAUUUGUAAUCUUAGGCCAAGGUCUGCCUACCAAGUUAAUCAAAGAAACAGAUUUUGUAGGAAUCCCUUUCACAGAAGGCUAAUUUUCAAAGAUAUAUGGCUCCAUACUGUCUUCUAGUAGAUGUAUUGCUUUUAGAAGUUGUACUAACUCUUCUGGGCCAUUAAGCUAAUGCAUAACAUUUUAUGGAUACUGUGUCUGAGAAAUUAUAUAUAAGUUGGGAACCUAUUUAUAAUAUCUAUUCUUUCUUCACUAAAAUAACUUUGGAGCUUUAUGAGGUAACUCAAGGCUGGUGGCUGGAGAGAUAAUAUUGAUAGAAUGAAGUAGCUAAUGUAGGAAUGUCUUGCUUGCUUCCCAUAUCCCAGUUAGUCACUAUCAUAAUUUUGUAAGGUAUGAGCUGGUAGCCCCAUUUUCCAGGUAAGAAAAUUGAGUUUCUAGGUGUUCUAGAUACUUUACUCCAAAUAUUCUAGAUUUUGUCCCAUGUUCAAAGUAUCAAAAUUUUGUCUAUGGUAACUCAUGAAUGUUAGUUUCCUAGGCUGUUGUAACAAAGUACCACAGAUUGGGUAGCUUAAAACAACAGAAAUUUGUUCUCUUAGAUUUCUGGGGAAGUCCGAAAUCAAGGUACCUGGAGUGCCGUUCUCCCUCUCUGAGGCUCUUGAGUAGACUCUUUCCUUGCCUUUUCCUAUCUGAUUCUGGUUGUCAGCCCGUGGCUUUCCUUGGCUUGCAAUGGCAGUACUUUAAUCUCUGCCUGGGUCAUCACAUGGCAUUUCUCCUGUGUGUCUGUGUGUCUUCACAUGACAUUCUUCCUGUCCUCUUCUUAUAAGGAUACUAGUCAUAUCAGAAUAAGAGUGUACCCUACUCCACUAUGACUUCAUCUUAUCUAAUUACAUUGGUAACAACCCUGUUGCCAAACAAAUUAGUAUUCUGAAGUCCUAGGGGUUAGAAUUGCAAUGUAUCUUAUUUGGGGGACACAAUUCAACCCAUAACACCAUGUGUACCACAUUUGGAAGAACAUAGAUUUUUGUAAAUUGUGUUUUUUGACAUUAGGUUCUUAGCUUUGUACCAAGGAUGUCACAACUAAUGAUUAUAUGAAAAUAAUUAUUGUACUUUUUUUUUUAAAGAUUUUAUUUAUUUAUUUGACAGAGAUAGAGAUAGUGAGAGCAGGAACACAAGCAGGGGGAGUGGGAGAGGGAGAAGCAGGCUUCCUGCUGAGCUGGGAGCCCGAUGUGGGACUCGAUCCCAGGACCCUGGGAUCAUGACCCGAGCUGAAGGCAGUCGCUUAACCAACUGAGCCACCCAGGCGCCCAUUUUGUACUUUUUAUAAGUAAGUGUUUCUCCAAAUUUCUUCCAAGAAAUACUCUUUUUAGGGUGCUCUAAGAAAAAUGGAAUGUGUUAUCAAAUGAUUGUGGGAUAUACUAAAUAUUAUUCUACAUUUUAAUCACUGUUCUUGGAGACCUAGUGACCCUUGGGAUGUUAAAGUCACUUGGAAGUCCUGGGUAAAGUCUGUUGAACCCACCUUAAGUUCCCUAAACAUGUUUGAUGUCAGAAACUAUCAUGUAACACUUGUUACUUUGUACAGCCAUCUUGGAAGAUGCCACAUUUGUGGAUCACAGCAUAUAUGCCAUUUUCCCUUUUCAUUAUGAACGUGGGCAGAUGACUUAACCUUUGUAUGCUUUGGUUUUCUCAACUGUAAAAUGAGAAUAAUAAUUGUAGUUAUAUCAUAAAAAUUAUUGAGACUAUUAAAUAAGAUGAAACAGGCAAAGAGCAUGACCUAGUGUUCAGCCAUGGAAAGAGCUCAAUCAAUGCAUGUUUAUCAUUAUUGUGAUUAGUAUUCUAUUUAGUCAAUAUUUGUCACUAGACAUUAAUCCUGAGUGGUGCUGAGCUCCAACAAACAGAAGGCCGUACUUAUUAGCUUGAACACAAUUUCUAUAUAAUUUACAGAGUAAAGAGAUCUUACUUUUUAUUCUCAAAGUGUUUACGUAUUUUACCUGUUUCAUUGCAAUGUCUCAGGAAACGUAAAGAAAAAAAGGCUAUAUUAGAGUUGGUGUAAUAUGUGUAAUAAGAGGGAAUUGUGCAGCACAUUUUAGAAAGAGAUUUUUGGAGAAUGGUUAAAAUUAAGGUUUCUCAUUAAGAAUACUAGUCAUUUUAUUGUGCUAUUAAUAAAGUGAUGCCCCAGGAGCAAUUGAAAUAUACAUAUAAGGCUGAAGGAGCUUGCAAUGAAAGCCCCAGAAUCCUAUGCUUUGGAUUCUUGUGAGUUUUUUCCUAUUGUCUUUUAUGUCAGGCAUUCAGCUGACAGUUUUGGUUUUUUCUCGGUUUCUCAGGCACUUUAUUCUAUCAUUUAUUCUAACCACUUGCUGUUUUAAAAUAUACUACAAACUAGAAAACUGGUAAUGAAGGUUAUUCCGUUGUUUCUAAAAUAGUAAGAUUGCCGAAAGCUUUUUUCUCCCUGCAGAUUCUUUUUUGCUUUUUUGUUUUUAAAAUAAUUUAUUUAAUUGUAAGUUUAUAUAAUUUAAUGUUUAAUAAUGAUUUUGCUUAACUGGCUUACAAAAUUUCUGAAAAUUCAACAUUAGACUCUCACAGCAUACCACAUGUGUUAAUAUUUUUUAGUAUAGUUGUUAAUAUUUUAUAACUUUUUAAAAUUUUAAUUCCAGUGUAGUUAACAUAACAGUGUUAUAUUAGUUUCAGGUGUACAACGUAGCGAUUCAAUAGUUCCAUAUACUACUCAGUUCUCAUCAAGAUAUGCUGCAGAUUCUUGAGCAUAUUUUUCUACAUGGUUGAAAUUGCUAGCUCAGUGACUUCUAUCCAGUUGGUGAAAUGUUCCUGUAGGUCCCUUAAAAUGAUUAUUUUUGUGUAAGCUAAGGAUAGUUCCCAAGCUGUCACUUCACCAUUAUUUCUUGGUCUCUGAAUGCCCCUCUUUCCCCAUCAAUUCCUCAUAAUUUCUCCAAAUGGGUGCUGACCUGGCUACAACCGUGCCUUUUACAGCUAAACUACUCUAGUCAGAAGCUUGUCUUCCUGCCCAUUAGGGGAUGCGAACUGCUCUUCCAGUACAGCUUUAUACCAGAUGAUAGUUCUGUCUUGGAAGAGCUGCAGACAUUGCUUGGGGGUCCCCCUUGGAUAUAUAAAAAUCUCACUUUAUUCUUUGUCAGUCAUUUUACUUAGAAGAAUCAUAACGCUGAAAGGAUGAUUAGAAAUUUUCCAUUCAGGUCUUUCUGAUUGAAAAAUCAUACUAAUUUCUCAACUGUUAACUAUAUUAAACCCUGUCUUUCUGUUUGUGUAUAUGUCAUUUGAGGGGAUUAUUUUUUGUUGUUGUUAGUAAAGAAUUAUAGUUAAAUGUAACGUAUAUACCAAGUAUAUAUUAUUGAUUUUCAAAGGAUUCAUAGAACAUAGAAUGUAUGGGCAACACUAAAAGUAUGAGAGAGAUUUCCUUUUUGUUUAAUACUUAGGGAUCAUGUAGUGAGUCAAGGUUAUAAUUUUAACAACUAUUUUAUGAUUAUACUUAGAAGUAUGGAUUAGUAUUUAAUAGACUGCCAAGUAAAAUCACUAGUCUAUGCUAGUACUUUUCAUAUAGUGUUUCAUUUAAUCUUUCGUUGGCCGUAUUAUUUUGGCCUGUCUUGCAGAUAACGAAGCUAAGGUUCAAGGACUUAACUUGCCUUUCACAGUGGAUGGAUGACAGGGCUGGGAUUUGAUCUCAGAGUUGCCUGAAACCUCAGCGGCUAUUUGAGUAAAGAUCCUGAGAAGAAAACAGAAGAAAAGAAGAAGAAUGACUCUAAGUAGCCGUGGCCACUCCUUCUACUCUUCUGUGAUUAUAAAGACCUGGCUGAUCAGAUCUUUGACCCUAAAGAAGAGCUCAUUUUGCAAGUGAUUUUGUUGUUUUAACCUAGGACCAUGUGUGGGUGUUUUAAAUCCUUUUUCUAUUGUUGUUUUGGUUGGGCCAAAAGCUGGUAUAUUUGGUCAUGAAUAUUAGAUCUCAGGAGGUCGAAAUCCAGAUCUAAAUUAAGAAGCCUCAUGAAAUAUAAAUUUAGAAAAAUAAAACUGCAGUUAUCUACUUUGACCUGUAAUUUUUUUAGGCUUUUCAAAGCAGCUUUGUCCUAAGAAACCCAAAAUAUUUUACUUCAAACAUUGCUGAAUGAAGGUGAACUGUGAUUAUUAUGAAACAAGAGAGGCAUUUAGCGGCUGAAAGUCUGACCUAAAUUCUUCUCAACAUUUCAGGGAAUGUUGAAAGUGAGAUUGAUUGAAGCUUCAUUACUUUUAUGUGACUUCAAACAUGAAAUUAAAUGUAAAAUGAUAGAAUGUUGAAUGAGUGUGAGUUAGGAGAUAUCUUGAAAUGCAAAACAUGAGGAUUUUAUAAAUUAGAUACCCAAUUACUUCAUCUCAUUAGUCCCCUGGGUGUCUGUCAAACUGGACAGCUCUUGAGGUCAUUCAGCUUAUUUCCUCUUCUGGAUUCUAUCUUCUUAGGCGGGAGACAAAAUUUGGAUCAUAUUCAAGGACAUGCUGAUGUUCUAGGAGAAACUCUAUACAGGGUUUAUACAAUUAGUGCCCCAUUAAAGAAUGAUGCAUAGAUUAUAAUACAGAAAGAUAAAAUGUCAUACUUAUUUGUCUUCUUGGCAAUGUCAGGCCCAUGUAGAUCUUGUUUGUGUCACUAGGCAAAAUUUUCUCAUUGGUAAUCUAAAAAUUUUGUACUUAUGACCUUUAUAGAGAGAAAUAGUAACAAGACAUGAAAUAUAAUGUAAUGAGAACACAGCAAGGAAUUUAAUGUUUGGACUUAAGGACAGUUGAAUAUUAGGAGAAAAAAUAACCUUUUAUUUUUUGGUCUUCUAAGGAAAGAAUCUCAAUCUAUGACUUUUCAGAGAUGACCAUGUCUUUUGAAAAUGUAGGUAUCUUAUAUUAAAAUGGACAUGACAUCUUUUUCAAUGUCAAUAAAAUGAUUUCUAUUUUAGAGAUUAGUCAAUUGAAUCCUGACACUCUAUGAAGACAUCGAAACUGAGAUGGAGGUGGAUCUUAGUUUUGUAGGGACUGAAUCCGAUGCAGUGUCAGGGGCAGGCAGCUCUCCUGAAAGAAUACAAAAUAAAUUGUGAAUACAAAACUAGGUGAAUACAAAAAUGAAUUUCUCUCACACAUGAGAAAAUAAAUUACAACAACUUGCACAUUUAAAAAAGGUGACAAAUAGCAAAAACAUUUCAAAGUCCAUAAAAAUGACAUACUUCUACAAAGGUUACUUUUUUCCACUACAUUUUAUGGCUACAUACUCGUAGUGUCUGUUAUGGGCUGGAUUGUGUUCCCCCAAAAUUCACAUGUUGAGAUUCUCAUCCCAAGUAUCUCAGAAUGAAGAUAGGGCCUUUAAGAGGUAAUUAAAUUAAAAGAAGGCCUUUAGGGUAGACCCUAAUCCAGUCUGACUGGUCUCCUUAUAAGAAGAAGAAGAAGAAGAAAAACACACAAAGGGACACCAGGGAUGUAUGCUCACAAAGGAAGACCAUGUGAGGAAACAGUGAGAAGGUUGCCAUCUGCAAGCCAAGGAGAGAGGCCUGAGGAGAAAACAAACCUGCUGACACCUUGAGUUUGGACAUCCAGCCUCCAGAACUGUGAGGAAAUACAUUUCUGUUGUUGUGAGCAUGGUAACAACCUGCUAGAAGAGAUGGAAACUAGGAGACAGGAAUAUGAAUCUGACCUGACAUCACUAUCUGAUUGAAGCAACGAGAAAGUAAAUGGAACUCCAUGCUUUAAAAUAUUUUUAAGUGUUUUAUGUCCGAUUCAAACAUUCAGCAGUUGUUAUGUGGUAGGCAGUACAGGACAUUAUUUUAGGAUUUGAAGGAACUUUAUAGAAACUUAUCAGAAAUUAAAUAUAAUUAAGAAAAUUUAAACCUGUCUUCUUCUAGGAAUAAAAUAAUGCAGAUUUAUUUACAUAGAAAUAGGCAAUUAAAAUAUCAGUCACAUAAUUUGAAAUGUACUAUGAUGAGUAGAGUUGGUAGUAAUAGUAAAUUGUCUAGUUUCUAACUAGCAUGAGGUCUCUUUGUAUCACAGAAAAAAAGUGUUGGAUGAAAGAAAUGAUAGAGUGAAAUUCAAAGUUGUUUUAGAGAACAUCUAAAAAUGUGAUUAGCUGGCUUAUCUACAAAGAAUAUAUUUAUUUUCAAUACCAUUUAGUGUAUGUGUUCUGUAAAAGAUUUAUCCCAUUCACAGUUGGAGGAAGAUAAACAUACCCCUUACUUACACUUAGGCCUUUUUCUUCUGUUGUGUGAUUCAUGCUAUCCAACCUUAGUUAGAUCCUUAUUAGGACUUGAUUGCUCUUUUUCAUUUUGUGAGGGAACUUGUGAUAUUUAAUGUAAUAUGUUCUACCAAUUUUGCUUUCUCCUCAAGUCCCCAGGCCAGGCACUCAAUGCUUUGUUGGUUGUCUUUUAUCCUUCUGGGGGACCAUCCCUUGUGAAAUGGGCUAACUCUUUCUCUCCUUUAAAAAUGACCAUUGAUCUCUUCUCUUGAACCUUUGCUCAGGGCCACUCUUCCACCUCUUAUUCUGAUCCCAUUCCUUUCUGCCCCCUUUGCAAUCUGCUUACAUCCUCAGUCUCUCCCUGUUCCACUGGCUCUUUCACCUCUACUUGCAUCUAAACUAAAAUUUCCAUAUCCCAACAAGAAUUUUUUUUUUUUUCAGUAUUCUAUCUGAGUGGUUUCUCUUCACUGAUGUUUCUCUUAUUUCCAUCACUUGCAAAAUCCAGUUGCCUGAAUUCUUUCACUAGUCAAUUAUUUUUUACUCCUCCACAGUCUGGCUUCUGGAAUGACCUGUAAUGUUUGGCAGUAUUGAUCAGCUCCCCUUCCCCACCUGAAACUCUCUUCCUUGGCUUCUGUCAUAUAGUUCUGUCUUGGUUAUCUUCAUUGUGUCCAGACUUGCUAAUUACUUUACCUUCUCCUCUGUACCAAAUGGGUGAAGGCAUUCUGGAAGGUUUUGUCUUUUCUCAUUUGUUUAUCGACUUAAAAUUAAAUCCUUUCUCCAUCCCCCGGAGUCCUCAUGAACUAGCUCUGGCUUACUUUCCGACCUCAACUCCUACUUCUCUUCUUUGGCAUCAGUAUACUCCCAUCAUUCUGGCCUUCCCUCGGUGAGAACCACAUGUGAUUACGAAGCAUGGAUCUGGCCCUUCACACGUUCUGGUCUUUCCUCAGGUAUCAGUUCAACUGAUUACUUUAUAUGUAGUAGGUCUGCUGUCUUGCUGCCCAGUGAAAUCAGCUAUAAAAUGAGCUUGUACUAGAUGUCCUCUUGAGUUCGUUCUGGAUCUUUAAUUCUGUGAUAGACUUAAAUGACCUAAGAUGAUAGAGUUAAAAGGCUGCUCUAAGCAGAAUACCUUCAAGUAUCCCCUUCAUCAACUCUGUGUCCACAACAGCUAGAAUAUAGUUGAUGCACAGUGGAUGCUUGAUGAAUAAAUCAGUUGUCACUGUGUGACUUAGGAUAAGUCACUUCUCUUUGUACUUCAUCUUUGAUGUUUAUGCUUCAGUUUUCCUUUUUUUUUUUUAAUUUCUUGUGAGAAGUGACAUGGAUAGUGUAAUCCUUUCAGGACCAAAGGUAGCAAGUGUUAAGGAGGGCACAUUAACACAGAUAUCCUGGCACCAUUUUCUUGCAUCCUUGAUUUAAUGGAUGUCAAUAGUUGACUUUUUAAACUUACUUCCAAGGAAUAAACUUCAGGGAAUAAGGAAAAUAAAUAAAAGACUUUGACCUCUAAGGGCAUAGAAUUGUAUAAGUUUGUCGUUUACCUGACAAACAUCAUUUUAAAGAUUUUCUUAGGACUCCUAUAAAAUGAAAUACAUUUUUGAGUUUCAGCCUCUGAAUCCAUGAAUUUUAGCUUUCUGUCAAUGAUUUUACUGUAGGAACAUGGCUGUAAAAUGAAUCCUUUGUAUUAAAAAAUACAUCUAAGCAAAGGGAAAUUUAGUCUCUUUUAAAAUGUAGAUUUAACUGUAAUUUGUUACACUACAACUGCUUUUAACCAACAAACAAAUUAGUCCCAUUUGUGAGAUACUGUAAUUGCAAUAAAUUGUAUGUUAAAGGACAGUUCAAAAUUCUUAUAAUGUGUUCUCACAAAGUAAGAACAUUUACCAGUAUAUUUUGGUUUUAACACAUUAACAAUAAUAAAUCCGAAUGUCUUUCUUCUAAAGAAUGAUUUGGUUCCUUUUGUAAGAAAAAGAUAAUAAGCCCAUUGUUUAAAAAAAAUAGAUAAGCAAUACAGAAACAUUCAAGAAGAAUAAUAAAAAAGUUAUUCAGGGGCGCCUGGGUGGCUCAGUUGGUUAAGCGACUGCCUUCGGCUCAGGUCAUGAUCCUGGAGUCCCGGGAUCGAGUCCCGCAUCUGGCUCCCUGCUCGGCAGGGAGCCUGCUUCUGCCUCUGACCUUCCCCCCUCUCAUGUGCUCUCUCUCUCUCAUUCUCUCUGUCUCAAAUAAAUAAAUAAAAUCUUUAAAAAAAAAAAAGUUAUUCAAAUGUAACCACUCGGAAAAUACAAUUACCAAUAUUAUGCAUCUGACAUUCUCAUCUGUCAUGAUGAUGACAGCAGAAUACCUUCAAGUAUCCCCUUCAUCAACUCUGUGUCCAGAGUUGGACCUCUUUAUGUAAGACUUGACUCCUUAAUUUUGUUUCGAGCCAUGAACAUAAACUCCUAUUUACCAGCUGAUUAUUGUCCUGUGUAUAUGUAUAUAUGUUUAUAUGUAUAUGUAUGAGUGGGUGACACACAUUUUUUAUCUUUAAAUAUAUGAAUGUGCAUAAAUAUAUGUGCACAUCUUAUUAAUGUAUAUAUUUAAAUAGAGAAAGGGGCUUAAUAUUUGCUACUAAUGGUCAAUGUACUUAUAAAUCAAUAAAAAUGGUUUUACUAAUUGGUGUGUGAUGUAUAAAAGAGGCGACUGUUUCUUAAUGUUUCUGUGGUCCUCGUUUUUAUAGAAAUUAAUUCAUUCAUGUUUGUCAUGAUGUCUUUAUUUUAUGUCCAGUUAAUCAGAAUUCAUAAUCUAGCUAAUAGAACCUGAGAAGCGACAGCUUAAUGAAAUUAAGGGGUUGGGCGCCUGGGUGGCUCAGUUGGUUAAGCGACUGCCUUCGGCUCAGGUCAUGAUCCUGGAGUCCCGGGAUCGAGUCCCACAUUGGGCUCCCUGCUCAGCGGGGAGCCUGCUUCUCCCUCUGACCCUCCCCCCUCUCAUGUGCUCUAUGUCUCUCUCAUUCUCUCUGUCUCAAAUAAAUAAAUAAAAUCUUUUAAAAACAAAACAAAAAACAAAAACAAAAAAAAACAAAAAAAAAGAAAUUAAGGGGUUAUUUUGUAUUCAUGUGAAAGGCUAGAUGGAGGCAGCCUAGGAAUGUUAUUGAGGCCCAGUUGUAUCCCCAGAAACCAGACUCCCCUAUGCUUUCUCAGCCUCUCUCUUGAGAAUGUGAUACUUCUCAUAAUUGCAAAUUGGCUGCCAGAGUUCAGCCACCAGGUUUGCAUUUCAAGCUGUAAGGAAAAGACAGAGGGCACAAUGGAACAUGCCAGCUUAGUUGGUUUCUUUCUUUUGAGGAGCUUUCUUAAAACUCCUUCCAACAAUUUCCAUUUUCCAUUUUAUGGGCUUGAAAUGUGUCAUGAGGCCAUUCCUGGAUGCUAAGGAAGGUGAUUCUCUUAGUAAAGAAGUGGAGAAAAGAUACUGAGCAUUGCAAGUCGUGGACUCUGCCACUGAUGUUUUCCUAAUUGGUUAGGCAAAGACUGGCUUGAUUUUUUUUCCCUUAGGCAUUAAUCAAAUCAUUUUUGUGUUUGUUUGUUUCUUCAGAAGUUUCAUGUUAUAAAGCAGAUCCAUGAAAAAGUUGCUGAAGUUGUUUUAGAUUUUUGUGACCUGAUUUUGAGGAUAAACAAAAUUGCAAGUAUCUGUUUUAACUGGAAGCAUUAAAAAAUUCCUUCCUUGUAGUUCUUGAGGCAAACAUUGUAAUUGGAUCACACAACACCCCUUCACCUCCUCCUUCUUUCAUUUCUGUCUUUUCUGUAAAGUCUGGAGAGAUGAACAGUUUCUUUCCCCAUGUUUCUUGCUGGUAGGGUUGGAAAGUUCACAGGGUUUUGGCUAUGGACAUAGGAGGAAGUCUGCUAGGAGUGUGUAUAAGAUGAUUUACUUUUCAUUAAAAGGGGAAAACCAGGGGGAGACAUUAUCCAUUUGUCCUCAUUCUUGCCCCGAGUACACUAUGAUGCCUGAAACCUGAACAUCCAUGUUGAGAACACGAAGGAGUAUGCAUGAAGGGAAAAACCUAGAUAUUCACAGUUUUAAGUCCUAAUAUUGUUGAGUCACUGGGCCAAGUCUAUCUCAGAACCUAAAUGCGUUGUUAAUGUGAAAAAGUGUUUGUCACUCUAAGUUUUUCCUUUACUUUCGGGUAAACUCUUGCCCAAUUGAUGCUUUAUCUGUUUCUUCACUGAAUCAAACUAAGGUUUUUGUUUUUCUUUUUGAGACUUUGGCCUGGUUUAGAGUUGUCAUCAAAAGCCCCUACAGGGAAUGCUUUAUCUGUUUAGACCAUGCAUGUAAUAGCAAAACUGUGUGUGCUCAUGUUACCUGCUUUGAGCUCAGUGUGGUUUUAUGUGGUCACACGGACUUAAGUUUGAAAUCAGAAUUUGAUCUUGAGGAAUUAAAUCUAAAAUAUGAAUAAUAAUGACUACAUCUUGGGGUUUUUGUGAUAUUAAAUGUGAUAAUAUGGGAAUACAUAUUGCCCAAACAUUGGCUUUCUCCUGGAGUACUUUCACAAUGACCAAAGGAUUCCUUUUUGCUGAGAUUCAGUUUUCUUUGAGACAUAUUAUGAUUUUUAUGUUGGGAUCAUGGAGUUUGGAAGCUCAGAGAAGACAAGUAUUCAAAUCCCACUUGUAUGAAUUAUGAGCUUUGGCUACUUAGUUGAUCUUUCUGAACCUCUGUUUCUUUACCUGCAUCUUCAUUGUCUCCAGAUUUGCUAGUUACUUUACCUUCUCCUCUGCAUAGUAGCACUUAUCCUUAACUAAAUGAAAUGAUUCAUGUGAAAACUCCUAGUCUUUGCCAUGCUAUGGGACAAGUAGUAGAUGGUAUUUGUUCUUCUGAUUCAUUUUAGCUUUCUACCCAUAAUUAUAUUUUAGAGUGAAUGGUCCAUAUUUUGAAAUAAAUAUUCCUUUUGAUAUUUUCUAAUGACUUAAGAGAAAGUGAACUAGUGACAAUAAACAAACAUACAGAAGGGUUGGGAAAUAUUAUGUUCUCUUGAACUCUGUAUUCUCAUUGACUGAAACCAUAUUACAUAGAUUAUCAAAUUCAAAGUAAUUAAUAUAUAAUUAGUGCAGGAUUACUAAAUACCACUUACUUUUAUAUUAAUAAUACAUAGGAUACUUUAAUAUUCUGACAGUUACCAUGAAGAAACUCCAUUGUUCUUGCACACUAGAUUUUUUUCAAUGUUCAUUUGAAUUUUAUGACUGGGUUUUUAAAAAAUUGAGUUUAGUAUUUAUAAUAUUGGGUAGGUAGAUAGGUCCCUUUUUCAUAUAUUUUUUCAGAGUGACCUUUAGUAGCUGCUAUUUUGAAUAUAUAGUACAUUUACUAACAUUAUUGGUGUAAUUUUGAUUUCUAAUUUUUUGAUUACCUAGCUUUAAACCCCACUGGUGUAUGAAUAACUAAUACAGUUUUAGGAAAAUUUUUUGAUGGUAAUUUUCUAAGGAACAUAGUAUUUGCAAAACCAAAUCUAGGUUCUUCUUUUUAUUUUCUUUAUAAUUUUAGGAAAAUAGGAUAACCUUUGUUCCUGUCCCUAUCAGGUCUCCCUUACUGAAGCCUGAUCCUACUUUGAAGAGCCAGCAAAGCUGUAGUUUGCAGUUAUAAUGCUUCUAAAAAUACUGUGUUUAUCUAAGGCCACAGAAUUGUGCUCACUACAAUCAAUGCUUAAAUAUGGAAAGAGUACAACUCUGCUAUCAUCACAAUAUUGCAUCUUUUCCCACAUUUUGUGGCCUGUUUCCAGCAGGAAUGGGGAUUCAGUGUCAGCACUUUGCCCAGCUAUGACUUAGCACUGAUCAGUAUUCUUGUGUUGUAGGCUGGGAAGAAAGUGCUUUUCUGUCCUUAUCUGUUCUGACAAUUUGAUAUAUUUAGGUUUAUCUCAUGAAUAUCAUUUGAUGUUAUUUUUGGCAUUUGGUAAAAAUAGAUGUUUUUCAGCUGUACAGAGCUAUAGUUUAUAAUAAACUUUAUAUUGCAAUGUUCAAGGAAGAAAUUAUGAUGAAUUGAGACCAUUCUCUGCCUGUAAGCCAAAUCUCACCAUUUUUACACUUCUCAUUUAGCCUGGAGGGGAAGUUGUAUCCUCCAUUUGGGAUUAUUUCACCUGGCUAUUCUUAGCUCCAGAAGUUUGUCACUAUCAGCAUGAUUAAAAAUACUUACCAAGCAUCUUUUUUUUGGUUCUUUAUCUGAGUGAAUCAGCCUUGAACUUUUGGCUGGUCACGAAUAUUGUCAGGGAAAACCAAGGUGGUUUGGAGCAAUUCAAAGUCUUCUCCAAGCACACCCAAACCAUUUAAUUUAACUAAGGUUGACUUUGAUGUUAUGGGUAAUCCGAUUCAAUGAUAGCUGAAACUAUGUAAUGAUAAUUAAAAUAUCAACCCACAAGUUCAGUUGUGUUUUCUUUUUUUAGGAUUUGGAAGACAUGGUCAACAAAUAUGUUAUUUAAUAUAUAUUUAAGGUUUUUGUUUUUCUUUUUGAGACUUUGGCCUGGUUUAGAGUUGUCAUCAAAAGCCCCUACAGGGAAUGCUUUAUCUGUUUAGACCAUGCAUGUAAUAGCAAAACUGUGUGUGCUCAUGUUACCUGCUUUGAGCUCAGUGUGGUUUUAUGUGGUUUAAUGCCUUGUUUUUGCAGAAGGCCAUGCAUAUUACUAUGGGAGGCUGCUAUAACACUUCUGGGGUAGGAGAGGGUCACAUAAUCAGCCCACUCAAAGGACUAACUAUCUCUCCUUCCACAAACCUUAAUGUCUUUUCUCAACACGACUUAAAAUAAGGAAGAGGUUUAUAUUUAAGUUUAAGGGACAGUAAAACCUAUAGGUCCAAUGCUGUUGAGUUAAUGGAAUAAGCACUCGUGUAAAUAAUAAGAUCUGUGUGGGUUGAGGUAAGGCAAAGGGCUGCUUGACCAAAAAUUUGUUCUCAACGUGUCAAAGUUUCUGAAAUUUUCACAAUUGGCAAGACUGUAAGUGUCUUUUUUUUGGCUUAUAUGGAGGUUUGGCAUAGGCCUUUAGAUUUAGACAACACCGGUUGUUGGCUUUAGCUCCAGGCUCAGGGUUUAGAAGACUGAUUUGCUGAAUGCCAUCUCUGUGUCAUUGAACUCAUGUGAGAUCAUGUGGAUUUGCCAUCAUGUGAUGGCACGUCUAAUCACUGUAACAAUAAUACUCUAACAGAAUAUGCCAUUUGUAUUGAUUCUGAAAAUCUGAACAUAUUUUUAUGAUUUAAAAAGUUUUAAGGGGUGCCUGGGUGGUGCUGUCGGUUAAGCGCCCUGACUCUUGGUUUCUGCUCAGGUCAUGAUCUCAGGAUCCUGAGAUCAAGCCCUGCAUGGGGCUCAUGCUCAGCGCGGAGUUGCUUGAGUUUCUCUCUCCGUCUCCCUCUGCUCCUCCCACUGCCCCCCAUGCUUGUGCGUGCUCUCUCACAAAUAAAUAAAUAAAUCUUAAAAAAAAAAAUAAAAAUAGAUAAAAAUUUUAGAGGUUAACAGAGUGAAAAAUCUCAUGUGAUUUAUAUAUUGAAAUAAAAGUGUAUGUUAGUGUAAAAUGCUACGAGGAAUAAUUGUGAAUAUUCUUAUUAAGAAAAAUAUUUAUCAAAAAUUUCCAAAUAAAUUUGGAAAUACGUCGAAAUCUAAUGGAUCUAUUAAGAGUGACUGUACUAAAUAGAUAGCUUAGGAAGAACAUAUUCUUUUUGAACCCACUAAUAUUUUUAUAUAAUUUUAAUAAGAGAAAGCAGAAUAUAGUUACAUGACUUCAUAAUUCUAAUUUUUAAGAAUUAAACAAGUGAAAUGUUCACAUUGAAAGUCUUCACAUCUUUUAAGCAAGAAUGACAAAGACUAUCAACUUUGCACUUCAACAAAUUCACAAGCAAAGUAACCUUCAAAAUCAUAUAAAAGAUUCAUGAAGAAUCCUCUUCAAUACACACAGUGUAGGAACUAUAAAAAGGUAUGAAGAGAAGAACAAACGAUACAGAAAGUUGAGGUAUGCCCUAAAUAUCUUUUUUUUUUUUCACUGAAAAAUGAGCAUGUAGGAUUGUAGAUGUGAAAUUGGGUGACCACAGGAGCAAUGUGGUAACUAACUCUCUAUGCUAAGAAAUUGUCCUUCACUAAUAAUGUUGAUCUUUUAAAAUUUGAAUAUCAGAAAUUUUAAUAAUAAAAUUAUAUUAAUAAUUAAACUGUUUAAUAAAAUCUCAGAGUUAUUCUUGUAUCUCAUAAGUUCAUUAUGUAAUUAAAAUAUUUGCUUCGGCAAAAUAUCAAUUUUUAACGUGUGCUCAUUCAGCAUUUGAUUUGUAGUAUGUAAUUGGUUUACUUCUAUCUUGGGUGGAUAGGUAUGUUUAACUGAGUCGUAGAAGUGAGCUGGAAGACUAGAACCUAGUGUAGCUUAAUUUGAUAAUGCUGUUGCUGAACAUUAGAGAAUGGAAAUGCUGUGAGGAAGGUUCAGGAUGGUGUGCAUGAUGUGUCCCAUGAUAGCACAAUAAUAGGGAAAAGGUGAGUUAUUUACUUCAGAUUGUCUGGGGCUGUUCCUGAGUGUCACAAUUAUUGAUAAAGUGUGUAUUCAAGUAUGACACUUUAGGAAACAAAAUAGUAUAUGCUAGGAAACAUGCUAUCUACCAGGGACUUUGUUCUUUUAUCAGACAAUGCUAAACUUACCACUGAUAUACAAGAGAAAUAUGAAAUAUUAUAAUAGGUUUUAUUUAAUUGCAAAGGAAAUACCUAGUAUAUCAGUGGAUUACAAAGUGAGCUAAUAAAAAUUUUAGACUUUGAGCAUACUUUUAUUAAAAAUACACAUCAGGUUCUGUGUAAUUGCUAGAUUAUUGUGUGUAUAAUGGUCUUGCAGUAGAAUUGAUUAAGAUUAAAAAAAUUAGUAAUACAAAAAUUAAUGUAAUUUUACAUAGCAACAAUACACAAUCCCAUUACCUAGAUUAAUAUGGUGUUUCAGUCAAAUUAAAAAGCUGAUAUCCUUUGCAAUGUGCUAUCUCACAGAGGAUAUUUUACAAUAAAAUAUGAGGAGCAUGGGAUUUUGAUUCUUAACCAAUUUAUCCAUUGUGAUGUUAUUUUAAAGGGACUUUGCAUAUGUUAAUUUAAGGAUAUUGAGAUGGGGAGGUUAUCUUGGAUUAUCUGGGUGAGCACAAUGUAAUCACAGGUUUUAUAAGAGACAAAAGGUUCAGAGUCAGAGAGAUUGGAAGAUGCUAUGCUGCUGGCUUUGCAGAUGGAAGGAAGGGGCCACAAGCUAAGGAAUGAGGAAUGCAGGCAGCCUCUUGUAGUUAGAGAAGACAAGCAAAUGCAUUCUCCCCUAGAGAAUGGAAAAAACCAGCCCUGCCGACACUUUGAUUUUAGAUAAAACACCUGUGUUAUUUUAAGCCACCAAGUGUGUGAUAAUUUGUAGCCAUAGGAAAUUUGUAACAGCAACCAAUAGGAAACUAAUGAGUCCCAGAUAUUUAUAUGAGUAUUUCUUUGUGAUUGCCUUAUUAGUAAAAUAUAAUCAUUAUAUCAUUAUAUUGUUCAUUGCAGUAAUUGAUAAUUAGUUAAAAACCAUUUUUAAUCAAGAAAAUGUGAAGGUUAUCUUAAUAUCUUGUUCAUUCACUGAUAAUGUAUGUAUAUAUACACACAUUCACACAUACACACACACACACACACACGGCCAGGGUGGGAAGAGAGGUGAGACUGUCCAGAGAAGGUAGGCUGCCUCUUCACACGCUACCAAUGCCCUGGUGUGAAAUCUCAAGGAAUAUAAGAAUUCUAAAUUUCAAUGUGGCCUCCAGGUCGUUAGGACUAUUUGUAAAUGUAGAAGGCUAGAGCAUAUUUUAUUUAAUAGUAGGUCAGCUUGAUUUAUGUAUUUCAAAUAUUUAGACAUACAAUAUGAAAGCUUCUUUUAUAUUUUUACUCUAGGUCCUGAAAAUGUUAGUGUCAGGUCUUUUCUUCAAGAUCAUUUCCUGCUGUUUUUCACUUAUUCUGAGUGCUCCAGACAUAACAGGUUAAGCACAGAUUUCUCAAUCUUCCAUGCUACUUGUUACUUUUGCUUGUAUUACCUCCUCUGCCAAGAGUGCCCUUUCUUAUUCUUUCACCUAGGAGCCUGACACAUAUUCUUCAAGACUGAGAUCAAAAGUUAUCUCCAACCUUCUCUGGUCACAAUUAACCAUUUCCCUAUUGGUGGUCCCUUUGCUUCUUUUAGUCCUGAUAUAGCUCUUCUAUCCCUAACUUGAAUGUGAGCUGCUUGGUGGAAAGGACAUUUUAUUUACAUCUGUAUUCCCAUGCCUUGCUUAUAGCCAAUAUUAGUGAGGGAGAGCAUUCUUUGUGUUUCUUACAUACGUUGAUAGUGUGAAAUGAAAAUCACUUAGUUUUCUUCCUCCUGUUGGUCCCAACUGAUAGCACACAUCCACACUAGAUGCGUAGGUAUUUAGGCUAAGAAAAAUAAGCUUUAUAAAUGAAGACCCCAUAGGCCCAAAGUGCAUGCCUCCCUUGUGAAAGUGUGUUGAGAGUAUGACUAUGUCUUGAAGCUGAGGUGGGAAUUGGGGCCCUACCACCUUUUUGCUAAAUCUCAGCCUCAGGACUCUUUGUAGGGAGAAGCUCUGAAUAUGUUUACAAUCCACCUAUAUGGAGCACUGCACAUCUUCAUGCACUCAUGAGCAGAUGGUCCAGAGAGCUCCACAUGAUACUAGAGGAGGGCUCCAGGAUUGGCUCAGGAAUGAAGGAUUCAGGUCUGAUCCUGUGUGCCUUCUGCAUGGGUCGGAGAAGGGUGAAGAAAUCUGGCCCUGAUCCUCUGAUACAUCAUCAGGCAGUGUGUGAGGGGUUGUGGGCGGUGAACCUAAGUCUUCUUUCUGAGGAACAGUAUUCCUCACCGGUGGCAGCAAGCUCUCUAAACACAUAAUCACAUAAUCUCUCCAAUCACAUAAUCACUCCUUUCUGAGGUGGGGUUAGGACGACAGAGAAGAAAAAGAGUAAGAAGUGGAGGUAGAAAGAUGCAAAAUAUUCACUCUAAUACUUCCUGAAUCAUGAAGGCAGAGGAUGUUUCAUCAUGUGUAGAAAGGAGAUUCUUGGGAUUAAGUAUAAUCUUUUUUUUUUAAGGAUAUUAUUUAUUUAUUUAUUUGACAGAGAGAUAGAGAACACAAGUAGGCAGAGUGGCAGGCAGAGGGAAAGGGAGAAGCAGGCUCUCUGCUGACCAGGGACCCCGAUGCGGGGCUCGAUCCCAGGACCCUGGGAUCAUGACCUGAGCCAAAGGCAGCCGCUUAACCAGCUGAGCCACCCAGGCGCCCCUAAGUAUAAUCUUCUAAUAGUAGGAAACCAGUAUGAUUUUGCUGAGCAGUUUAUGGGCUGUCGUGACUGAGAAGUCAUGCAUGAGGGCCACCCUUUGUUCUGCCCUCCCAAUAGGCUCUCCACCCUGUUCUGUGCACCAGAAAGCUCAUCUUGAAUUGUUUCAAAGCACUCUCUUCCCUGCUGUCAGUUGGGUUUAGUGAUAGGAGGUUUCCUGUAGACAGCUGCAAUGCAGGUGUGCUCAAGAGAACAUGGGAUCUAGACAUGCAGGUCCUGGAAUUAUUAGCCUUUGGCUACUGUAGAACCCCAUGGAGUCUUUGAAAUCACCUAUUGGAAACUCAAGAACGCAGAGAAAAAUUUUACAAUGUUCUCCCAAUUCCUUUAUGUUGCACUUCUUUCCUGAUGCAUUGACUACUAUUUUACCCGCUGUCCCCAGCGCCCCAUAUUUUCUUAUUUCACUUUGAAUGCUUCCUUCACUUAUAAUGUUCUUGAUUUCUAUCCCUAUCAAUUUUGCUUCGAAUUGCCUGGCAUUUUUUUCCUGCCUCAGACAUCACCACCACUUCCUGGACUUCUGCGUUCCCUGUUUCUUACCUCAUUCUCCCAGUAUACACUUCUCUGUUCGCAUAUGUUUACUUAAGGAUAUUGAGAUGGGGAGCUGUCCCAUUGCUUCUGUCUAUCCCCACUGACCAUGUUUCUGUCUCCUCUAUUGUCUCACAUAUUCUGCUUACAUGGAAAUAGCUUAUGUAAUAUUUAACUCUCCAAUUUUGAAAUGUAAAGGAAAACGUAAAAGAAAAACAAUUCAGGCUAGUGAAUGUGAUAAUCUGGUUAAGUUAUAAGGAAGAUGUGGGUUUUACCCAAUAUGCUACGAUUUUAAUGGGACUCCAUAAUGUUUACUAAGCCAGGUUUUCCUUGAACAAAGACCACAUCUAGAGGGUAAGUUAGGCAUAAAGUUGCUUAGACUAUUAGGGUUUCAGGUCACAAAUUCCUGACUUAGUGCAUUAUAUGGUACAUUCAUGAGCAGAAAGAAUACACCAUUUCUUUCUCUCGUAAGUCAUAUGGGGAAUCUGCCUCAUUUAUUUGUUUUUUCUUCCAAAGGUCCUUCCGUUGGCCGCCAUUUUUUCUCCACACUUGAACAUUGGUCUGUAGGGAGUUACAGAAAACAUUUAAGAUAUGACAAAAGGGUAGAAAUAGACUUAGAUAUUUACAUUUAGUAGAUGUAAAUAUUUCAUAUUUAUCUUAUAUAAAAGAAAUGGUAUUUGCAACAGAUGUUUCAUUCUGUAUUAUUGAACAGAAAAGUGUCUUCUGUAUUGUACAUGAACUGCUCAAACCUUUCCUGGAUUUCCAAAAAACAUUGAUACAACUGGGAUUUUAAUUAUAGUUGUGCUGUAAUGAAAGAUAAUGUAGAUAAUUUCUCUGCACCAAACAUGCAACUUGUAAUAAUGUCCCAGGUUUUUAAAAGAAUUGAAACAAUGUCUCUGAAAUGUGACGUGGUUUUAAGAAACAUAAAUUAAGACACAAGUCUGUGCCUGGAAAGGCAUCCUGUUAUUGGCCUUAAGACCUUUUCUUUCCAACACAGUAAAGGAUGGUUAAUCAGAAACUCACUGGAUUUUGAAGUGAGUUUGUGAGUAAAGUGAAUGAAGAAAAAAAAAUGCCUCUGGCUUUUUUUCCAUAGAAAUGAAUAAUCCUUCCAAAGAUGUUCUCUUUACUUUCCUUGAAUGCUUUACCUCCCUCCCCUCCCCUUCAGAGUCCACUUGUUUCUGUAAUAUGAAUCUGCUCCUGUAUUACCUCCUCCCUAAAAACACCUUGAUUCCUCCUGCCCCUAGGUAGAUCCUGUAACCUUCCUCCACACUGGGGCACAUACCCUCAGUAUAGCAUUUGCAUCUGCCUCAUGUUCCUAUAAUUCUUAGUACAUCUGUUUUCUUUCCCCGGACUAUGAGCCCCUUCAGAGCAGGGACUGUAUUAUAUUCAGUCUAAUGGAUUACAUGACACACUGCUUAUUAAAAUCUGAAUCACCUAAUACCACUAAAAUAUUAUCUAGUGGGGAAUAGUGCUAUUUCAGCUAGAAAAAGCAAAUGCAUGGUUCCCUAGAAAUACAAGGCUUGUCACCAAUAUUCACCAAUAUUUCUCCUCCCCCUUUUUUAACCACUUCUAGGCCAAGAUUGGCCUCAAAUACAGAACCAGCAGAAUGUAACUUUUACAGUAACUUUUACAGCUGCCUAAGUUCUCUGGAGCAGAAACGCAAAGCUAAAGCAACAUUUUAAAACUGGCCAAAAAACUGGUCAAAGAAGAGGGAAGGGAAGAAAGCAGAUUCUUUUGGAUAACUGAGAUACUUGUUUCAGAUAAGCGAGGUGCUUAUUUCAUAUUUCAUACUUAUUUCAUGAUCAUAACGAACUUGGGAUGUUACCCAUUUUACAAUGUAGAUUCUAAAGCACAGCAGGAUUACAGUUCACAGUAAUGCUAACUAAAGAGAAUCACUUUUAACAAUCUGGAAUUUAUUUCCAAAUCUGCUUGUAUGUGUAUGUUUCAGGACUGGGAUCACAGAAUAUAUAGGUUGUAUUCUGCUUUCUUAAUUUAAUAUUUUGUUGUGAACAAUCUCCAGUGCUCUUAAUAGUUUUUUGACAAUAUAGUUUUAAUGACUGCCUAUAUUCCAUUCAUUUAUCAAUCACUCAUUGAACGUUUCUAUGUGCCAAGCAGUAGUAUACUGUACCUCAGGGAUAUAAAAGCCAACAGAUAAAACCCCUGCUUUCGUGAAUUUAUUUUAAAGAUGUAAUUUAUGUGGCCAAUACUGUUGGUUGGCUAACUUAGCAUUCAUCUCUAUUUCCUCUCUCUACUUCCAGGAAUUGAGGCUGGAAAAGAAAUACGCUUUUCACACUUCUCUUUCAGUGAGGGUUGGCAAUAUAACCCAGUUAUGGCCUGUGGGAUUUCUGUAGAAGUCUUCUACUGGAUUUCUGGGAAGUUUUUGCUUUUUUGAUGAAGGGGAUGGAUGUAUUGAGAUUUUUGAACAUAUCCCCUUCUAAAAGAAUAUAUGAGGGACGCCUGGGUGGCUCAGUCAUUAAACGUCUGCCUUCGGCUCAGGUCAUGAUCUCAGGGUCCUGGGAUCGAGCCCCGCAUCGGGCUCCCUGCUCCGCGGGAAGCCUGCUUCUCCCUCAACCACUCCCCCUGCUUGUGUUCCUUCUCUCGCUGUGUCUCUCUCUGUCAAAUAAAUAAAUAAAAUCUUUAAAAAAAAAAAAGAAUAUAUGAUGCCUGAGCUGUGUCUGCCUUCGUUUAACUAUGAGAAUACAAGCAACAUUCUGAGGAUGUCAGAGCAGAAAUACAGAAAAAUCCUGGGAUCCUGCUGAGAUGUGAGCACCUAAAGCAGUGCCAGCUACUACUUACCAGUAGACUUAGUUUGUGAGAAAAAUGAACUCUUAUUUUUUUCAAGCCUCCAUUAGUCAGAUUACGGGUUAUUUGCAGCUGAAUAGAAUCCUAAUGUUACAUAUUAUUUAGCCAACCUGCUAGGUCAGUGUCUUUAGAUUGAUUUACAUUUUUUCCAAUUUUUAACUUAUGCUCUAAAGAAUAAUACCAUGCAAAGUUUUGAGCCCAUUUCUAAUUAUUCUGGUAAAAUACAUUUCUAGAUGUAGAAUUGCUGGAUAUGAGUUUGAUUCUGGAUGCAUUUUGGCCAUAUUUCCAUCUUGAAAGUUGGAGACCAUUUAUAAUCUCAAAGAUGUGAGAGUACCCAAUUCAAAUGAAUUGGUACUUCUUAACUAUAUAUUUUCAAAUUAUUGUAUCCUUUCAAUGACACUAAAAAUUUGAGUUCAGAAAGUGACCCCGUGUACUCUCUGUGAGAAAGCAAGGUUCAAAAGAAAAGUAGGGGAACACUAAUGGAUGCCCAGGAACCUUUUGUAAAAGGAGAAUAUUUCCUUGUGUAAACUCUGUAGGUGGAAAAAUAACCCAGUCUUGCUAUCUGAGAUGCAGAAACAGAAAGAACUACAGUGUCAGAGACACUUGUUCUCAUCCAACUUGUAGUUUCUUCACCAUUCUGAAAUAUCUGAGUAAAUUUUAACCCAGAAAACGUCUUGAGAAUGUGUGUAAAUUCUGGGGAUAUUCCAGGCAACAGGUAUGGUACAAAAAACCCUGCAAGGACUCGGUAAAGAACUGCCAGUAAAAGCAAUUGUGCUCAGGUUUCAUCACCUCUUACCCGAUUUACUAAAAAAAAAGUGAUUAUCAGCUUAGUUCAGCAAAACUCAAAAGACUUCAUGUUUAAGUGCUCUACACUUUGCCAACUUUUUCAUAUAAAAUGUGUAAAUCCUGCUAGCAUAUUGGAAUGGUUAUUUUUUCCUAAACAUACUCUUAAUCUGGUUUUGAACUAUGGAAUAUAGAUUGAGCUAAAUAUUAUGCACAGCUUUCCUAUUAUAUACAAGGCAAAAAAAAAUUUCCUUUGGGAAUUGUUUUCUAGAAGACCAAACAUGACCUAAUUAGAUAUACAGAUAACCUUAAAGAAGCUUAAAUAAAUAAUCCCUCUCCAAUCAAUUCCUGCAGGCUAUGCUAAGGGAGUAUUUCUCCCUCUUUAAUGCAGUUCUGUUCCAGCUUAGAGCUCUUUUAUGUCCAUAAGCACUCUAACUUUUCUUCUAUAACCAGAAAGGAAUAUUUUCAUUCUGUGUCUUCCUUACACUGGUGUAUAUUCAGCUACUACUUGAGUAGAGUCGCUGGCAUAGAAAACCUGGACCAUCAGCUUGCAUGGAACUUUGCAAAAAAAGGACAGAAGGAGCUGAGCUGUGUCUAAGCUGAUGACUCACUGAAGUCCAGUCAAGUGUAAAAUCAAGUUAGAAGCAGCCCAGGCCAGAUACUGAAAUGUGCCAGGUAAGAUUUCUAGAAAGUGUGUUUUCAUAAUGAUUAUGAAAACUUUGAUCCUUUCCCCAGAUAUCAUUGCCCUUCAUAUUGAAUCAUAACUCUGGUUUACGUUGCUUACUCUGGAGCAAGUGCUUUUGAAGAUACUGAGGGGUAAAGAUGAGUCUAACAGGAUUUGUUGUUGGUUGUUUCUGGGCUCACCUCUUUACCUUACAGUUUACAUAACAUCUUUUCCCUUCAAAAAACCUGUUCCCGUUCUGGGUGCCAAAAUCCGCGUUUGUCUUCCUCCUACAAAUUCCAGAAGUCAAAGGAUCUAAGGCAUAGCCUUUUCUAUCUGUAUUUAAAGGAGUUCUUCAUGCGUUCAAUGUGGUCCUUAACGUAAUCUCACCAAACUAAUUUUGUCCUUGGGCACCCUCCCGUUAGCUUAGUGUCACUGAGUUUCAGCAGUCAUUGGCUGAAUUCCGGAGUAUAGCUCCUGCAGCAUCUGAUUUGCUUUUACGAAAAAUAUAAACCAGACGCUGAUGAAACUGUUCAGGAAGCUCUAUGCGGUGUGUGUGAAAUCCUGGUUUUAUCCUUAAUCUCAAAGAUUGGGCAUGACUGCUCAUAUCAGAGGAUUUCAGCUCAAUGCCGUCUUGAUAAAGCAACCACCAAAUUUUCUAAAGAAAAAUAUUUUCUCCCCCUACUUUGUCAGUUCAUUUUGUGGGGGUCCCUAUCACGGUUUCAGAUAGUAACCUACAGUGAUAGCUUUAAAGAUUGAAUAAAAUCAUGAAUAUCUUUGGAUAGGUGAUGGUUUUCUCUGAUGCCACUGGCUAUGUUUUGUACAUCCAGUAGCUGGAGAGAUAUUUAAAAGAUCAUCUGGCUGGAUCAUCAGACUUACACUCAGUAGAAAAGAAACACUGCCAUCAUUUUUUUUCUGUGGGGGCUCAGAGAUUUUCAAUAAUGCCAAUAUAGUUAGUUGAAUGGAUAGUGACAUUAAUUCUAAUUUCAAGUAUGCCGAGGUCCCCUAAAAGGUUGACUGUUGAGGGAAAAUAUCUUUUACUCUCAUUUUCCUCAUAUAUAAAAAUACUUUUUUAAAAAAAUACUUCUUUGUGAGGCGCCUGGGUGGCUCAAAUGGUUAAGCAUCAGCCUUCAGCUCAGGUAAUGAUCCUAGGGUCCUGGAAUUGAGCCCCACAUUGGCCUCCUGGCUCCUCAGGGAGCCUGCUUCUCCUUCUCCCUCCUUCCCUCUCCCCAGCUCAUGCUCUCUCUCUCUGUAUCUCUGUCAAAUGAAUAAAUUAAAAAAAAUCUUUAAAAAAAAAAAAUACUUCUUUGUAAGGUCAGUGAUAGUCUGCGCAUACGUGAUUCCUUGUAAAUUUAAUGUACAGUGUAAACAUUGAAGCCUGAUGUGCUAAACUGGAUCCGGUAAUGAAGGACGAGCCUUUAAGAACUUUGUUAACUUUGAGAUUGAUUGAUUGGUUGAUUGAUUCAUUCAUUCAUUCAUUUAUUCAUUCAGUGAGUUAUUUGUUGAGUUCCUUCUGGGUAUCAGGCUAUGUGCUGGCAAAGCAAUAGUAAGCAAAAACAGACAUGUUCCCUCUACUCUUGGGGCUUGCUGUGAAGUAGAGGAGAGAGGUAUUAAUCAAAUAUAUCAUCUAUUGCAGUUGUGAUAAGAGCAUCAAAAGAGGUACAUGAUGAUGCUAUGUGGUUUCUUAAUGAGGGAUUUCACCUGGUCUGGGAAGUCAAGAUGGGCUUCACUGAGGACUUGACUGAAAUGGCAUGUGGAAGAAAAGCAGGAGUUAACAAGGGGAGUAGGAAAAGGAAGAAGCAGCAGCCUAAGAGCCUAUGGCAGAAGGGAGCCCAGCAAGUCUGAGGGGCUAAAGGAAGGAAGACAGGGAGGCCUGGAGUGUAGAGAACAUGGCUCACUGUGAGGCUGGAGUGGGUAGGUAACAGCCACUCAGGCUGGGUCUUAAAAUGUCUGAUCUUUAUCUUGAGAGCAAUAGGAAUUCAUUAAAGGUUUUUUAAGUGGGUGGUUCAGGGAGCAGGAUAGAACACAUAUAAUAUGAAAUUCCUCUUCUAAAAAGACCACUCAGGCUGUGGGGGUGAAAAGAGCCGAAAGACCAGGAGGGGAGUGUAUGUAUACCUGCCUUUAGUUUAGGGCUUUGGAGGACUUUACAAAUGACAGAAGGGCAGUAAGGGGAAGACUGGGUUCCUUAAGCAGAAAGGUUAAGAAGGUUAAGCAGGGUUUCAGAAACUGGUAAUGAUUGUUUUUAAGUCCAAAUCUGGUUACAAUGAAUUAUGGAUAACACAUUUACUAUGAUGAUAAUUAUGAGUCAGUAAGGUAGGCUAAUCCAUAUGUAAGCCUUCCCUCAUGGGUAGGGAAGGGUAAGUCUUCCCUCCUGGAGGUCUUAUAAGUAAGCCUCUCUGGUUUGGUUUUGUUUGUUUGCUUGCUUGCUUAUUUGUUUUAAUUAUUUUUUCCUAGUUCCACAUUCUUAAGUAAGAUGUAAAAAUAAAAGCAAAGAUUCACUCCCAGCUCUCUCUUUCCACACACACACAAUGAAACACACACAUUUGCAUACAUGCAGAAUAUUUUUGUACAUACAUCUUUUUAUCCUUGUCUGAUUAUCUUUUUUAGGAUAAAUGUCUAGAUGAAAUUACUGGCUCACUUGGUAUACACAUUUAUUUAUUUAUAUUUUUAUAUAUUUUAAUUUUUUUUAUUUGAGUAUAGUUAAUACGUACUGUUACGUUAGUUUCAGGUGUACAACCUAGUGAUCUGACAAGUUUAUAAGUUAUGCUGUGCUCACCACAAGUGUGGCUUACCAUCUGUCACCAUACAAUGCUAUUAUGUCAUUGACUAUAUUCCUUGCAUUGUACCUUUUAGUCUACUGACUUAUUCAUUCCACAGCUGGGAUCCUGUAUCUCUCUCUGCCCUUUACCCAGUUUGCUAUCCCUUGCCCCUCUUGCCUCUGGCAACCAUUUGUUAAAAUUUCAAUGUGUUUAUGAAGUAUCUGUCCUCCUAAAAGCUUGAAACAAUUUAAGUUUUACCAGUUUUGGAGAUGAUUUCCAUUUUAUCACAUCUUUGUCAAGGCUAGAUAGAUACAUUUUUCGUCUGAUUAUUAUUUUUUGCCUUUCUGAUAGGUCACAGAUGAUUUUUUUUUCUGUUUUCAUUUGCUUUUUAAAUUUUUAAUUGAUGUCAUUUUUCUCGACAGCUCUGUAUCACAUUUUGGUGUAUUCAUUUUGCUUUUAGGAAUUCAUUUAAAAUAAUUAAAUAUCUUUAAAGUACAUCUGUGGUUAAUAUAAUAUAUCCUUUCUGUGUAGAUUUUGGAGUCAACUUUUUUAUUCAGGGACAGUACAGGAAUUUCAGUGGAACCCGAUGCAAUCAACAUUUAAAAGACACAUUUUCCUUGAUGCUGUUAUGCAAAACCCUAUUUUUCUCAGACUAAACAAUUCACAAAUUUUUUUAUGUAAUCUUUAAAACAUUAAUAGACUUCAUUUUUUAGAACAUUUCUAGGCUUACAGAAAAAUUGUGCAGAAGAUAGGAGUUCCCAUAUGCUCACCACCCUCUCAACAGCAUUGCCCCUACUAUUCUUGCAUUAGUAUGGUACAUCUGUUAUAAUUGAUGAACCAAUAUUGAUACAUUAUUAUUCAGUAUUGUUCAUAACUUAUAUUAACAUUCACUCUUUGCGUUGUACAGUCUAUAGGUUUGGAAAGUGUAUAACGUCACAUAUCUACCAUUAUAGGUUCAUACAGAAUUAGUAUUACCACUCAAAAAAUCCUCUCUGCUCUGCUUAUACAUCUCUACCCCUACCCUCACUCCUUGCCUGAACCUCUGGAGGCCGGGAUUGAUAUUUUUUCUGUCUUUAUUGUUUUGCCCUUUUCAGAAUGUCACAUAGUUGAAAUCCAUAUAUUAGAUAGCCUUUUCAGAUUGGCUUCUUUCACUUAACAAUAUACAUUUAAGUUUCCUCCAUGUCUUUUUUUUUUUUUAAGAUUUCAUUUAUUUAUUCAUGAGAGAUAGAGAGAGAGAGGCAGAGGCAGAGGGAGAAGCAGGCUCCCCGCGGAGCAGGGAGCCCGAUGCGGGACUCGAUUCCAGGACCCUGGGAUCAUGACCUGAGCUGAAGGCAGACGCUUAACCGACUGAGCCACCCAGGCGUCCCUUCCUCCAUGUCUUUGUGUGCCUUGAUAACUUAUUUUUUUCUUAUCGCUGAAUAAUAUUCCAAACCACAGUUUGUUUAUCCAUUCACUUAUUGAAAGACAUCUUGGUUGUUUCCAUAAUUUGGGGAGAUUAUGAAUAAAGUUGCUAUAAACGUUUCUGUGCAGGUUUUUGUGUGGUUGUAAGUUUUCAACUCAUGUGGAUAAAUUGUAAUUGCUGCAUUAUAUGGAAAAACUAUGUUUAGCUUUGUAAGAAGCUGUCAGAUUGUUUUCCAAAGCGGCCAUACCAUUUUGUUUUCCCACCACCAAUAAAUGAGAGUUCCUAUGCUCCACACCCUCACCAGCAUUUGAUACUCAAGUGUUUACGAUUUUAACCAUUCUAAUAGGUGUGAGUGUUACCACAUUGUUUCAAUCUGCAAUUUUCCAAUGACAUAUGUUGAACAAAUUUUCAUCUGCUAUGCUUUUUUUCCAUCUCUAUAUCUUCUUCAAUGUGGUGUCUAUUAAAAUCUUUUCACCAUUUUUAAAUUGGAUUUUUUAUCUUUAUAUCAGUGAGUUUUAGGAGCUGUAUUUUGGGUACAGUCUUUUAUCAGAUAUGUGUUUUGCAAAUUUUUUCCAUGGAUUGUCUUUUCAUUCUCUUAAUAGUGUCUUUCACUGAGCAGAAGUUUUUAAUUUUAAUGAAAUCAAAUUUGAUCCAUUUUGGAGUUAUUUUUGUGAAAGUUGUAAGGAUUGUGGUUUUAUUGACUUUUUUUGUAUGUGGGUUUCCAGUUGUUCAAACACCACAAAUGUCUUGUCCAUGCUUGGAACCCUAAAACACCUCUGUGUUAUUAAUACUAAGACUACAGAUUUAGAUGUAGACAUGAAUAUUUUGCUACUUCUGAGUGGCUUACUUGAAAGCCAAAAAAAAGUGACAUAUUUACUCUAAGAGUCUUUAAUUUAGGAUGAGAUCACUAGCAGAAACACUUCCAUAAUGUACAAUUUUAAUAGAACUGGUGUGUUAUUUAGAAACACACAAAGGACUAUUCAAAAGUUGGUGUAAAAUUAUAGCUGUGCCUAGAGAAAAAAUUAUGUUUCUUAACAUCUCCCCUGUCUGCCCUGGUUCUUCUUACAGCUUCUCUUUUUACUCAAGUCUGUGAUCUUUGUCUUUGUUAGCUUGCAGUGAACUUCAUUCACUGAUGCUGGAGGGAGAGAGUUUUCAGUUAGAUGCCCUAGCUCCUGAUCCAUACCCUUGGAAACUGGAUGUAGUCUCAAUAUUAAAAUGUGCAGGAAUACAUCAAAGAUAUGUUUUUAAAUGUCCCCCUUUAACCUUAGAAUAAAUAAUUUGGAAGUAUUUCUUUUAGUUCCUAGCUUUGAUAUGACUUACAAUGGAAUAAAAAGACAGGAGUUUCAGUUCCUUUUAAUGCUUCUCUUCUAAUAGGUUUGUGAUUUGAUACCAUGGUGAUAGGCAUCAAGGAAAUACUUAGGAUUAAUGAUGUUUUCAGUUGAUUUGGAAAAGAAGUGUAUUUUUAAUUCCUCUAGCUUCUUGGUUAAAUUACCAUCUUGCAUACAAACUCCUUUUUGGCAUAAACGAAUUGAAAAUACUGAUUUCAAGAAAUACUUUAAUCCAUAUAGCACCAUGCUUACUUUUGCUUAACUUUACCAGGUUAUUUUAACCCAAAUCAUAGAGACAACAACAAUAAAAAGAGUAAAGCAGAUGGCUUAAAUAUUAUAAGUACAUCUUAGAACACUUUUGGUAUUUAGAGAAUUACUUUUAGAAUUGCUGAGCUUUUUCUUAGUAUUUAAAUGUCUGCUAUUUCUUAAAAUGUUUUUGGUCUUAACUGGGUUAAAGUUUUAAUUUUUUUUUUAUUUUACCUUUAAUGUGGAAAGAAAUAGCCACUUGAAGUUAUCAGAGUAUUCCCUUUAUGACACAGCAAAGAAGUUGUGUAGAUUCUUUGGAGUGUCCUUUGAAAUAUUUCUUUCCCAUUAUUUUCCUGUGACAACCAUUGCAGGUUUCCGCUUCAACCUGGACUUAUUUCUUGAUGUCUCUGACUAAAGUCUUUUCUUGUACUGUUUUGCCCCACAUUCUACACACUGUUUGAUCUUCCACAAACAUUACUCUGCUCCUAUUAUUGUAGUAAUUGUUCUGCAUUGUGGUGUAGAAAGAGUAUGGAUUUUGGAAUAAGUGCUACUUAUUCUCCCUGCGCUUUUGGACACACACUCUAAUCUCUAAGGCUUACUGUCCUUAACUAUAGAGUAUUGUCAGCACUCUCAUAAAAGUUGGCAUUAUGAUUAAAUGAAAAGGGCUUGUUCCCUUAAUACUUCUCAUCACAAUCCAGAAUUCUUAUCUUGACAUAUGAAAUCAACCAAAAUUUGUGCUCAGAUAAGCUUUCAACACUUACAUUAACUCACCUGCAUGUGGCCAAAAUUUUAGCCAACACCCAGACGGAACUCUCCAAUUCAUUAAAGUGACCUGAAAUGACAUCUCUAAAUUCCUGAUUAAAUGUAGCCAGCCUAAAAUGGCCUUUUUUCUUCCUGAUAUUUGUAGGGCACUGAUGUUUGUUUUCUUGUGACACUUAAUAAUGACUGCUUUGAAUAAUAGUUACUUGUGUAGAGAUCUUUUAAAAAUUUUUUUAUUUUUAUUUUUUUAAUUUAAAUUCAAUUAAUUAACAUAUAGUAUAUUAUUAGUUUCAGAGGCAGAGUUCAGUGUUUCAUCAGUCCUUAUAUAAUACCCAGUGCUCAUUACAUCACGUGCCCUAAGGAGGGUAGCCAUCAUCCAGUUACCCUGUCCCCCCACCCUUCUCCCCUCCAGCAACCCUCAGUUUGUUUCCUAUGAUUGUCUCUUAUGAUUUGUCUCCCUCUCUGAUUUUGUCUUGUUUUCUUUUUCUCUCCCUUCCCCUAUGAUCCUCUGUUUUGUAUCUUAAAUUCCACAUGAGUGAGAUCACAUGUAAUUGUCUUUCUCUGAUAGAUUUAUUUCGCUUAGCAUAAUACCCUCUAGUUCAUCCAUGUCAUGGCAAAUGGCAAGAUUUCAUUUUUUUGAUGGCUGAGUGGUAUUCUAUUAAGUAUACAUACCACCUCUUCUUUAUCCAUUCAUCUGUUGCUGGACAUCUGGGCUCUUUCCAUAGUUUGGCUAUUGUGGGCAUUGCUGCUAUAAACAUUGGGGUGUAGGUGCCCCUUCAGAUCAUUACAUUUGUAUCUUUGGGGUAAAUACCUAGUACCCUAUAACCCAGCAAUUGCACUACUAGUUUUUAAUUUUUUUAAAGAUUUAUUUAUUUGAGAGAGAGGGGGCAUGAGUGUGGGGGAAGUGGCAAAGGGAGAGGGUGAGAGAUUUUUUUAUUUUAAAGAUUUUAUUUAUUUAUUUGACAGAGAGAGAGACAGCAAGAGAGGAACACAAGCAGGGGGAGUGGGAGAGCGAGAAGCAGGCUUCCCGCUGAGCAGGGAGCCCAAUGCAGGGCUUGAUCCCAGGACCCUGGGAUCAUGACCUGAGCCAAAGGCAGACGCUUAACCAACUGAGCCACACAGGUGCCCCGAGGGUGAGAGAAUCUUAAGCAGACUUUGCUUUGAGAGCAAAGCCUGAUGCAGGGCUCGAUCUCCUGAGCCUGAGAUCAGGACCUGAGCCAAAACCAAGAGUCAUAUUCUUAACUUACUGCGCAACCCAGGUGCCCCUGUAGAGAUCUUUUCUGAGAGGUUAUAAGGUACUCAACUGCAAAGCCAACGUUAUACCCAUGCAUCCUUACAGCACUGAGACCAAUAUCAGACAUAAAGAAAAAAAAAAGUUUUCAAUAACUAUUUGGUGAAUGAAGGUAUCAUUUACAUUUUUAAUAUUCAUCAUUGUCCUAUUAUUUCAGGAUUACCUCUUAGAGAAUUUUUCCAUGUUAAAUCAUUAAAAAAUUGUCAAAUUUUGAGGUAAUUUUGUGGCUCAAGAAUACUUGUUAGACCAUUUCAGAGUGAUAUCACUUUGGGUAUUAUUAUUAUUAUUAUUAUUAUUAUUAUUAUCAUCUAGAAAAUUAGCUCAAAUUGACUAACAGCAGAAAUGUUCCUUAAUGUAUCAGAGUUUGACAAAUCUAUUCCCAUUAAGGAAAAAAAAAAUCUGAGGCAUUGUUAGUUAAUACUUCAUCUUUUAAAAUAUCUAGGUUAUUUUUGACCCCAAACCUUCCAAAUACUUAAGACUCUAUUGUAUUAAUGAAUGAAUGUCCUUUUGUUCAGAGAUUAUGUUAAACCGUGCCUCAAAUAAUGCAUAAUAUCUCAUUAGACACCAUAAGACUAAGGAAGACUUCUUAACCUGUCUAAUACAUUUUCCAUAUUUUCAGCAAGUUUACUUAAACCAUUUCUGACAGGAAGACAACUUUUCUAGUCUUAUUUAUCCCAAGGGAAGAUGAUUUCAUAGCCUCCCUUAUAAAAUAAGGAUUUUCACAAAUGAAUGUGGUAAAUGAACCCUAGAGCUAUUGUGGUGACAAAUGAAUUCUGUCAUUGAAAAACUUGGAAUGAAUAACACCAAGGAAGAAAAAAAAACUCACCUUGCUUGAGAUUAGGUAAGCGUAAGGCAUUUAUGAUGACUUUCACUGAUGCUGCUCAGGAAAAUCCUGCUUUGCAAUAGAUAGAGAAUGAAGAGAAGAUAACACACUUUGAUAGAAGGGGAGAGGAAGAGAAAAGAGCAUUUGAGGAAACUGAAGAAGAAAUAUUGGGAAUUAAAUGGAAAAAUGCCAUAUGAAAAGAAAUAUACCCGUAAGUAAAUGAAAUAUAAAUGCACAAAAGGGCCCCAAAUAGGAGGAUCUUCCCUGGAUUGCAUCUUUAAGAGAUAUUUAAUGCCCAUCAGUGUGAAGUUUAAAAACUAUUACCUGUGCAUUUAUAUUAACUGUUAAUCUUUAAAAAAACAUUUAAAAACCUUUAAAUACUAAAUUUUUAUGAUUGCUUUCCUAAAAGUUUUCCUCAAGGAUUUCUCUGUUUUCACUUUGGUUAGUUUUUAACAAAUUAAUUAAAUAUAAGGUUUGCCUUUCCAUUCUCUUCCCGUGAUACUCCUGGCUGUUUGAAAAAGAACACUCAAUUCAUUUAAUAAAGGAAACACUUGUUGGGGUGCCUGGGUGGCUCAUUUGGUUGAAUGUCCAACUCUUGAUUUCACCUCAGGUCACGAUCUCAGGGUGGUGAGAGCGUUGGGCUCUGCAUUGGGCAUGGAGUCUGCUUGAGUGGAAGACCUGGAGUCUUCUCUCUCUCCCUCUCCCUUUGCCCCUCCACCCCACACCUCUCUUUCUCUAAAAAAAAAAAAAAAAAAAAAAGAAGAAGAAGAAGAAGAAGAAAAGAAAACACUUGUGAUGAGCACUGGGUGUUGUAUGUAAGUGAUGAAUCACUAAAUUCUACUCCUGAAACCAAUAUGACACUAUGUUAACUAACUAGAAUUUAGAUAAAAACUUGAAACAAAAAAAGAAAAGACUUGUUCAUUGGUCCACCUCUCAAGACAUCCAGCAGAUAGAAGGAUAAUUAAACCCAUCCCUUAGUAUAGCUGUUGUUUUCCUUCUGGCAGCUUCAAUUCUAUUUUUUCUUUGACUGCAUCUAAGUUUUCUUUAAGAAUUUUAUGAAAUUGUCCAAGAAAGGUGACUCUAGGAUCUGAGAUGGCACUGACAGAAAGCAAGCCAUACACAGUUAGUGUGCAAAUCGUAACAGGGAGCAGGUUCUUGAUUUGUUUUAUCCUUUCUUUGAGUAUACAUAAAACAAAUAAACAUUUUAUAGUUUCUUAGAGAAUUUGGAUAGUGGGUAUGAAGCAAUCUGGAUAAUCUACUUUUUCAUUAUAUUACAUUUAUAAUUUAUAUGUUCCGUAAAUCCCUUUUUUAUGAAUAAAAUGUUUUAUUAAAAUAUAAAACAUUUGGUGUUGGAUUAUUGUAAGCUUCUAUCUACUGGAAAAAUUCACUGAAAUUUUUCCAGUUCCCUUUAUUGUAAGGCUAAAUACUUUUGCUCUUGAGAGAUGUGUGUAUGUACCUUUGAUAGUAAUAAUCAGCUGUGCUUUUAACCCUGAUGAAAUAAUUCAUUAUUCCUUAUUUUUUUAAAAAGGCACAUGUAUAUAUCUAUUCACUCUAUAAUACAUAAAGGCAGAAUAAAAACGUAUGGUUUUGUUAAGCUGUAUUGCCUCAAAAUAUUUAGGGGAAAACUACAUGCAGAUUUUUAAAAAUAAAUGUCUUGUCUGGUCUCAGUCUGGUCUUAUCUGAUCUCAAUCUGAUCAAUGUUGAAUUUAUUCAGAAUGGUCAUUAGAGAUUUUGCCUAAGCCUAGAGAAAAUAUAACUGUUCUACAUGGGUUUAAACUUUGAAUUAAGCCUCACAAACAGCAAGGCCAAAAUAGCAGAGUUAAAUAACUCUGAAAAAUCAAUGAUGUUUGCAUAAAAUGAAUUAAUUAGAGUGUUUUGAAUUUUAUAUUACUUCAAUACAAGAAAAUAUACAUAUAGAAGCCAUUCCACUAGUAUUU